AUUGAACGCUGGCGGCAUGCCUUACACAUGCAAGUCGAACGGCAGCACGGGUGCUUGCACCUGGUGGCGAGUGGCGAACGGGUGAGUAAUACAUCGGAACGUACCUUAUCGUGGGGGAUAACGCAGCGAAAGUUGCGCUAAUACCGCAUACGCCCUGAGGGGGAAAGCGGGGGACCGUAAGGCCUCGCGCGAUUAGAGCGGCCGAUGUCUGAUUAGCUUGUUGGUGAGGUAAAAGCUCACCAAGGCGAUGAUCAGUAGCUGGUCUGAGAGGACGAUCAGCCACGCUGGGACUGAGACACGGCCCAGACUCCUACGGGAGGCAGCGGGGGGGAAUUUUGGACAAUGGGGGCAACCCUGAUCCAGCAAGGCCGCGUGAGUGAAGAAGGCCUUCGGGUUGUAAAGCUCUUUUGUCAGGGAAGAAACAGCAGCUCUAACACAGUCUGCGAAUGACGGUACCUGAAGAAUAAGCACCGGCUAACUACGUGCCAGCCGCCGCGGUAA
rnacentral:rRNA from 1 species